UACGUAGGGUGCAAGCGUUAAUCGGAAUUACUGGGCGUAGAGCGUGCGCAGGCGGUUGUGUAAGACAGAUGUGAAAUCCCCGGGCUCAACCUGGGAACUGCAUUUGUGACUGCACAGCUGGAGUGCGGCAGAGGGGGAUGGAAUUCCGCGUGUAGCAGUGAAAUGCGUAGAUAUGCGGAGGAACACCGAUGGCGAAGGCAAUCCCCUGGGCCUGCACUGACGCUCAUGCACGAAAGCGUGGGGAGCAAACAGG
rnacentral:rRNA from 1 species